rnacentral:rRNA from 1 species
GACGAACGCUGGCGGCGUGCCUAACACAUGCAAGUCGAACGGAGAUAUGAUUUCGGUUGUAUCUUAGUGGCGAACGGGUGAGUAACGCGUGAACAACCUGACUCUAAGAGGGGGAUAACACUCGGAAACGGGUGCUAAUACCGCAUAAGACCACGACCUGGCAUCAGGAUGAGGUCAAAGGAGCAAUCCGCUGAGAGAGGGGUUCGCGUCCCAUUAGAUAGAUGGCGGGGUAACGGCCCACCAUGUCAACGAUGGGUAGCCGAGCUGAGAGGCUGAUCGGCCACACUGGAACUGAGACACGGUCCAGACUCCUACGGGAGGCAGCAGUGGGGAAUAUUGGGCAAUGGGCGCAAGCCUGACCCAGCAACGCCGCGUGAGGGAAGAAGGCUUCGGGUUGUAAACCUCUGUCCUUGGUGACGAAACAAAUAGACGGUAGCCAAGGAGGAAGCCCCGGCUAACUAACGUGCCAGCAGCCGCGGUAA